CUCCUUCCAGGCCGGAACCCAAGUGCUUAGGCAGCCGGGAAAGGCCGGUCCCCUUUUUCAGUUCUCUCGCGACCUCUAGCCACUUCCGGUUGCUAACGGUUCCCAAACAGCCCCCGAAAACGCUACGUGAGCUGGGCCCUGGGCCAGAGGCAGAAAACGGACGGAAGAAAAGGUCUGGCCGGAGAUGGGUCUCACUCUGUCACCCAGACUGGAGUGCAGUGAGUGGUGCGAUCAUAGCUUACUGCAGCCUGAAACUCCUGGGCUCAAGUGAUCUUCUCGCCUCAGCCUCCUGAGUAGCUGGAGCUACAGGUGUGAGCUACCCAGCAUGGCUCAUUUGAGAUUUCUGAGUAGAGAAGUAACAUGAUUAAACUUGGGUAUUGAGAUUAUUAUUUUGGCUGCUAUGUUAACAGUAGACUUGAAUGUGAAGGGGUUGGGCAAGGGCAGAAGCAGGGAGACAGGUUGGAAAGUUGGAGUGGGAAGGGCCUUUUUAAGAAUAACACAAACCCCUAAAGACAUAAAACUGAAAAGGCCAUGGAGGAAAAGAUAAAUGAAACUGGCCUUGUAAAAUUGAAAUAUUUGAAUGAAAAAAGUAAAAAUAAAAUAUAAACUAAAAGUAAAAUAUGCCACACAUCUAAAAGACACAGCUGAUUUUCCUGAUAUACAAAGACCUUUUAUCUUACCAAAAAAUAAAAAUAUGAACAAGCCAAUAGAAAAAUAGACAAAGUACUUAACCUGCAUGCAUUUAUUGUCAGGCCUCUGACAAUAUGAUACUAAGCCAUCAUAGCCCCUGUGACCGCCACGUAUACAUCCAGAUGACCUGGAGCAACUGAAGAACCACAAAAGAUGGCAUUCCACCAUUGAGAUUUGUUCCUGCCCCACCCCAACUAAUCAAUCGACCUUGUGACAUUCCCCCUGCCCCCGACAGUGAGUCUCAUGAUCUCCCCACCCAGCACCUUGGCACCUUGUGACCCCCGCCCCUGCCCACAAGAGAUAACCACCUUUAACUGUAAUUUUCCACUACCUACCCAAAUCCUAUAAAACUGCCCCACCCCUAUCUCCCUUUGCUGACUCUCUUUUUGGACUCAGCCCACUUGCACCCAAGUGAAAUAAACAGCCUUGUUGCUCACACAAAGCCUGUUGGUGGACUCUCUUCACACAGACUCACUUGACAUUUAUAGAACACAAAAUUAAGAAUAGUGAAUAUGAAAAGGUUCACUAAUAAGAAUUUAAACAAAACAAGAAAGAUUUUUAAGAUUGCUAAAGACAAACGAUUUAUAAUAUUCAGUGUUAGGAGGUGUGUGGAUAUACAGGCAUACUUAGUUUUACAUUUUUAGAAGGUAAGACUUAUUUAGAAGGUAAGAAGUUGUCCAUACCCCUUGAUUCAACAACUUAGCUUCUUGGAAUUAUCCAUAUAGAAAUGCUUACAUAAAUGUUUGAACGUAUGUACAAAGAAGCACUAUUUAUUUAAAUUGGGAAACUUGAAUGCCUAACAUUUGGAAUUUAAAUUUUUAUAUGUCUAUUCAUUAAAAUACCACCCAGUUUUUAGAAACUAAGAGAUGCUAAAGGUAUAUUGAGUAAAAUAAAAAGUUACAAAAGAUAUGGUAUGAUUGUUUUUGUGAAAAUUAUUAUCUUAAAAAUGUUGGCCGGGCAAGGUGGCUCACACCUGUAAUCCUAGCACUUUGGGAGGCCGAGGCAGGCGGAUCACGAGGUCAAGAGAUCGAGACCAUCCUGGCCAACACGGUGAAAGCCCAUCUGUACUAAAAAUACAAAAAUUAGCUGGGCAUGGUGGCAUGUGCCUGUUAGUCCCAGCUACUUAGGAGGCUGAGGCAGGAGAAUCACUUGAACCCAGGAGGUAGAAGUUGCAGUGAGCCGAGAUCAUGCCACUGCACUCCAGCCUGGCGACAGAGUGAGACUCUGUCUUAAAAAAAAAAAAAAAAUUCACUAUGAGUAUCAGUUGGGGGUAAACUUAAGGAGAACCUGCAUUUUAUACAUUAUAUAUUUCUGGAACAUUUCAAUUUCUUAUGAAGAUUUGCUACUGGUAUAAAUGGGAAAAGAUAAUUGUUCUUAAAACCCUAUUUAUUCUCCACAACCUAUAAAAAAAUUUUCCUGUUUGGAGAAUUUCAUCAAUAUCUAUUUUCCUCCUCUGAAAUUCUUUGCCUGACAAGUCAAAGAUAAGUAAUGCAUUCACAUAAAUUUAUUAGAAAGAAUAAAUGUCCCCAGCAUCUAGUUUGACAAUAUUUUUUUGUGAAAUGUAUAUCCUUCCAUAGAUAUAUAUACCUUUUGUAGAUACAUACCUUUCAUCUUAAAGGAAUUAUGCCUUGUAAAAGGGUAUAAUUCCUUUAAUAUGAAAAUCAGAUUCAACUUCUGUGUGCUUUUUAAGGGCAAAUAUAAGUGAGCAAAUAAAUUUGUGUGGAUUAUUUAGAAAGUGUAGAUAUAAAUAAUUUUCAAAUAUGCUUUAGAACACUCUCCCACUCUGGGAAGAAAAUUUUAGAAAAAGGAUAACCCCUGCAUUUCUUUCCAUUAGAAGUACAUGAUCAAAAGACAAAGUCCCUUUUUCCCUUGACUGUGACAUAACAUGUCCCUCAUAGGCAACUGAACAGAUAAAAAAUCCAGACGAUGCUUAGUAAUUUCCUGCUUCCCCUUUAGUGCACAGUGUAUUAUCAGUAUGUUUUGCCCUCUUUAUUUAAUAUCUUGCUGAAUUAAAUUAUCUCAUCAGGUUUUUAAGCACAAGCCCAGCCUGCUUUCUGGAUGACACCUGCCACAGGUCAUCCUUCCUGAAUUUCCUAAAUAGCCCAGAAUAUUCUUCAAGCAUGCCCCUGGCUCAUCAUCCAACUUCAGAGAAUCAACUGGCUAGCACCUUGGAGCACCUGCUGUGGUAACGGCUCCUCUGCUAAUGCUUCUGGGAGACACCUUCAUACG
rnacentral:lncRNA from 10 species